GCAAUGAUGACAAGUUUUGGUUAUGAUCAGCAAUGAAAAUGCACUACCAAUUCCUCUAAGAAGUUCUGAGCUC